CCUACGGGCGACUGCAGUGAGGAAUAUUGGUCAAUGGACGAGAGUCUGAACCAGCCAAGUAGCGUGAAGGAUGACUGCCCUAUGGGUUGUAAACUUCUUUUAUAUGGGAAUAAAAUGUUCCACGUGUGGGAUUUUGUAUGUACCAUAUGAAUAAGGAUCGGCUAACUCCGUGCCAGCAGCCGCGGUAAUACGGAGGAUCCGAGCGUUAUCCGGAUUUAUUGGGUUUAAAGGGAGCGUAGGUGGAUUGUUAAGUCAGGUGGGAAAGUUUGCGGCUCAACCGUAAAAUUGCAGUUGAAACUGGCAGUCUUGAGUACAGUAGAGGUGGGCGGAAUUCGUGGUGUAGCGGUGAAAUGCUUAGAUAUCACGAAGAACUCCGAUUGCGAAGGCAGCUCACUGGACUGCAACUGACACUGAGGCUCGAAAGUGUGGGUAUCAAACAGGAUUAGAUACCCGGGUAGUC
rnacentral:rRNA from 1 species